GGCGUAAGCGCACGCAAGCGGUCUGUCAAAGUCGGAUGUGAAAUCCCCGGGCUUAACCUGGGAACUGCAUUCGAAACUGGCAGGCUAGAGUCUUGUAGAGGGGGGUAGAAUUCCAGGUGUAGCGGUGAAAUGCGUAAAGUUCUGGAGGUUUUCCGGUGGCGUUAGCGGCCCCCUGGUCUAGUCUGUCGCUCAAGUGCGUUUGCGUGGGGAGCUUCAGGUUUAGUUACCCUGGUAGUCCUCGCCGUAUCGUUGUCGUCUUGGAGGUUGUUCCCUUGAGGUGUGGCUUCCGGUGCUACGCGUUUGUCGUCCGCCUGGGGUGUACAGCCGCAAGGUUAAACUCAUUGUUUUGUCAGGGGCCCGCAAAGCGGUGGUACUUGUGGUUUAUUCAUUGCAACGCAAGUUCCUUUCCUCUCUUGUCAUCCAGAGUUCUUAGCAAUGUUGCUUUGGUGCCUUCAGGUUCUCUGUAUCAGGUGCUGCAUGGCUGACAACAACUCAUGUUGUAAAAUGUUGGGUUUAGUCCCGCAACGUGCGCAACCCUUACCUUUGUUGCCAGCGGUUCGGCAGGGAACUCAAAGGAAACUGAAAAUGAUAAACUGAAGGAUGGUGGGGAUGUAGAAAAGUCAUAAUGGAACUUACAUGUAGGGAUAAAAAAGUGCUAAAAUGGCACAUACAAAGUGAUGCGUCAUCACGUGUGCAUGCGGUCAUAAUAAUGUGCGUCAUAAUCCGGAUUGGUGUCUGCAACUCGACUCCAUGUAGUCUGUAUCAAUGAUAUCGUGUUCUAUAUGCUACAGUGUAUACAUUCACGGGACAAUGUCAUCCGCCCGUCAACCAUGGGAGUGGGAUUGCAAUAGUAGUAGAUGAUAUACCAUUCAGGUGGGACACUAUAACAAAUUUGAUAAUUCAUGAAUGGGGUGUGUCGUAA
rnacentral:rRNA from 1 species